UCCAUGCUUCCAAGAAAAGCAUCUAGAGAGAGAAGUAGUGCCCGUACCGCAAACCGACACAGGUAGAUGAGGAGAGAAUCCUAAGGCCGGCGGAAGAAUUGCAGUUAAGGAACUAGGCAAAUUGACCCCGUAAGUUCGCGAGAAGGGGUGCCUGCGAGAGCAGGCCGCAGAGAAUAGGCCCAAGCAACUGUUUAGCAAAAACACAGGUCUCUGCUAAAGCGUAAGCUGAUGUAUAGGGGCUGACGCCUGCCCGGUGCUGGAAGGUUAAGGGGAACACUUAGCGCAAGCGAAGGUGUGAACUUAAGCCCCAGUAAACGGCGGCCGUAACGAUAACGGUCCUAAGGUAGCGGAAUUCCUUGUCAGGUAAGUUCUGACCCGCACGAAUGGCGUAAUGACUUGGGCACUGUCUCAACUGCAAAUCCGGCGAAGUUGUAGUGCGAGUGAAGAUGCUCGCUACCCGCGAUUGGACGGAAAGACCCCGUAGAGCUUUACUGUAGCUUAGCAUUGAAUUCCGGUAUUGUCUGUACAGGAUAGGUGGGAGACUGGGAAACUAGGGCGUCAGCCUUAGUGGAGUCAACCUUGGGAUACCACCCUGGCAGUACUGGGGUUCUAACAGGACGCCAUGAAUCUGGUGACUGGACAUUGUUAGGUGGGCAGUUUGACUGGGGCGGUCGCCUCCUAAAAAGUAACGGAGGCGCCCAAAGGUUCCCUCAGAACGGUCGGAAAUCGUUCGUAGAGUGCAAAGGCAGAAGGGAGCCUGACUGCGAGACAUACAAGUCGAGCAGGGACGAAAGUCGGGCUUAGUGAUCCGGUGGUACCUCGUGGGAGGGCCAUCGCUCAACGGAUAAAAGCUACCUCGGGGAUAACAGGCUGAUCUCCCCCAAGAGUCCACAUCGACGGGGAGGUUUGGCACCUCGAUGUCGGCUCGUCGCCUCCUGGGGCUGUAGUAGGUCCCAAGGGUUGGGCUGUUCGCCCAUUAAAGCGGCACGCGAGCUGGGUUCAGAACGUCGUGAGACAGUUCGGUCCCUAUCCGUCGCGGGCGUAGGAAAUUUGAGAGGAGCUGUCCUUAGUACGAGAGGACCGGGAUGGACUGACCUCUGGUGCACCAGUUGUUCCGCCAGGAGCAUGGCUGGGUAGCUAAGUCGGGAAGGGAUAAACGCUGAAAGCAUCUAAGCGUGAAGCCUCCCUCAAGAUGAGAUUUCCCAUAGCAUAAGCUAGUAAGACCCCUUGAAGAACACAAGGUUGAUAGGUCAGAGGUGUAAGUGCGGUAACGUAUUUAGCUGACUGAUACUAAUAGGUCGAGGGCUUGACC
rnacentral:rRNA from 1 species